AAAUAAGAAAUAACCACGUAGUAAUAUUCAAAAGAGAACUCAACUUCCAUUUUCAUUUUUAAUUUGUAUAUCAAGCACAAAUGGUCAAAGGACAUUAAUAUGUCAGUUAACGUAAAAACAAAUGAAUGGGAUAUCAUUUUAUUAUUACAAUCCUUGUCAUUUUUAUACUAUUCAAAUCCACUCCAUUCUAGCAUGCUGUAACAAACAUAAACUAUGGGCACUGAAAAAAAAAAA
rnacentral:misc_RNA from 1 species